ACUUUGCUUUUGUUUUGAGUGACGGGAGCAGCACACACAAAUUCAUUUCUUCUCAGUCAUCAUCAUCACUUGGGGGAACUCCUCUCCCGCCAUUUCCCCCCUCUCUUCGUCUUACUUUGUUACUUUCACUUAACACACAGCACCCACAAAGAAAGGAAGAAAACAUGAGUACCGUUGAUAAGAUGCUCAUCAAAGGCAUUCGGAGCUUCGACCCAGAGAACAAGAAUGUCAUCACCUUCUUCAGACCCUUAACCCUAAUCGUUGGCCCCAACGGUGCUGGAAAAACCACAAUCAUCGAGUGCUUGAAGCUUUCUUGCACCGGCGAGUUGCCUCCUAAUGCAAGGUCUGGUCACAGCUUCAUUCAUGACCCCAAGGUUGCUGGUGAAACUGAAACGAAGGGCCAGAUUAAGCUCCGAUUUAAGACAGCAGCGGGAAAAGACGUGGUUUGCAUAAGGUCCUUUCAGCUCACACAAAAGGCGUCGAAGAUGGAAUACAAGGCAAUUGAGAGUGUACUUCAAACUAUUAAUCCUCAUAAUGGGGAGAAAGUUUGCCUUAGCUAUAGAUGUGCAGACAUGGAUAAGGAAAUUCCUGCGCUCAUGGGUGUUUCUAAGGCCAUUUUAGAAAAUGUUAUAUUUGUUCAUCAAGAUGAAGCGAAUUGGCCACUGCAGGAUCCUUCCACAUUGAAGAAAAAGUUUGACGACAUCUUUUCUGCAACUCGAUAUACAAAGGCACUGGAGGUUAUAAAGAAACUUCACAAGGAACAAGCACAAGAGAUAAAGACUUUCAAGCUUAAGCUUGAGAAUCUUCAAACAUUGAAAGAUGCAGCCUAUAAGCUUCGUGAAAGCAUUGCCCAAGACCAGGAGAAAACAGAAUCUCUAAAAUGUCAGUUACAGGAGUUGGAAGGAAGCAUUAAAGAUGUGGAUGAUAAAAUACAUCAUGCAGAGAAAACACUGAAAGAUUUGCGAAAGCUGCAGGACCAAAUCUCAACUAAAACUGCUCAACGAAGCACUCUGUUUAGGGAACAACAGAAACAAUAUGCAGCUCUUACCGAGGAUAAUGAAGACACUGAUGAAGAGUUGAUGGAAUGGAAGACAAAGUUUGAAGAAAGGAUUGGAUUUUUACAAACAAAAAUAAGCAAAUUGGAGAGAGACUUGAAUGACAUUGACACUAAAAGUUCUUUCCUUAAGCAGACUAUCAAUGAUUCCAUCUGGGAGAUCAGCAAGCUUCAAACUGAAGCUGAAGCUCACAUGUCUUUGAAGAAUGAACGUGAUUUGUGUAUUAAAAAUCUUUUUGCGAAGCAUAAUUUAGGGCCUCUUCCAGAGUCACCCUUCACUGAUGAGGUUGCUACCAACCUGACCAAUCGUGUAAAAUCAAGGGCUUUAGAUCUUGAGAAGGACCUCCAAGAUAAAAAGAAAGCAAAUGAUAAUAAACUCAAGAUGGCAUGGGACUGCUACAUGAAUGCCAAUGACCGAUGGAAAAAUACCGAGGCUCAAAAAAAAGCUAAAUCAGAGAUCAAGAAUGGCAUUGUUAGACGCAUUGAGGAAAAAGAAAAUGAGCGUGAUUCACUCGAACUUCAAAUUUCCAAUGUAAACAUUUCUCACAUUGAUGAAAGAGAAAGAAAUUUGCGAAUAGAUGUCGAGAGGAAGACAAACCAACUAGCUGAAAGAGAAUUUGAAGUAAAUAUACGUCAAAAGCAAAGUGAGGUAUAUAGUAUUGAACAAAAGAUUAAGGCUGUCAAUCGGGAGAAGGAUAUCAUGGUUGCUGAUUCAGAGGACAGAGUGAAGCUAUCUUUUAAGAAAGCAGAGUUGGAGAAUCACAAGAAGAAACAUAGAAAGAUAGUAGAUGACCAAAAGGAUAAAAUAAAAAUGGUGCUAAAAGGGAGGGUCCCUGCUGAUAAGGAUCUGAUGAAGGAAGUUUCUCAAGCAUUAAGGACUCUUGGUAGUGAAUAUGAUAAUCAAAAUGCAAGUUGCAAUGCGGUCAAAAUGGAAGUUACCAAGUUGGAGACAAAAGAAACGGAAAUUAAAAAUAAUCUGCAGAAACACAAGAAGGAUUUGGAAUCAAAAAAGAGACGUAUUGAAACCGAGCUUCAGUCUUUGGAUCCUCAGUGGUCUUGUGUUGAUUCUUAUCCCAAAAUGUUAGAGUCUUUUAAGGAGAAGAGAGAUUUCACAAUAAGCAAGUAUAAAGGUAAUGAAGGUAUCCAAAACUCACUUGAUCAUUUUGCAAAGGAAGCCAGAACUAAGCAUGCUUGCCCUUGCUGUGACCGCGCCUUCUCUGCAGAAGAAGAAGACGAGUUUGUGAAGAAGCAAAGAUCAAGGGUUGCUAAUUCAGCUAAAGUUAUUAAAGCUCUUGCUGAGGAGUCUGCAAUUGCAGACUCUAACUAUCAGCAGUUGGACAUCCUUCGUGUAGUUUAUGAAGAAUAUGUCAAACUUAACGAGGAGACAAUCCCUGAUGCUGAAAGUAAACUUCAGCAAAUUAAUGAGGAGCUGGAUUGCAAAUCUCAGGAACUGGAUGAUAUGUUAGGUGUUUUAGCACAAAUACAGAGUGACAGAGAUGUGGCCAAAGCAUUGAUGCAACAUAUUGAAAACGCUGACCGGCAUUUUCAAGAAACUAUUGCUUUGCAGAAGCAAGUAGAGGAUUUAGAAUAUAAGCUUGAUUUUCGGGGACAAGGAGUGAGGACUAUGGAAGAAAUUCAAUUGGAGCUUAAAUCAUUGCAGGGAACAAAGGACAAUUUACAUGCUGAAUUGGAGAAGCUGAGGGAAGAACAGAGAUAUGCAGAGAAUGAUCUAUCAAGUAUUCAAAUUAGGUGGCACACUCUUAGGGAGGAGAAAGUCAAAGCAGCUAACACAUUGCAAGAUGCUAAAAGGGUAGAAGAAGAAUUAGCACGUCUGACUGAAGAAAAGACCAAUGUUGAUCUUGAUGAAAAGCAUUUAGCAGAAGCUCUUCGACCCUUAUCCAAGGAGAGAGAUAAAUUACUUGCUGACCAUGAUGAACUGCAAGUUAGACUUAAUCGUGAUUAUCAGUACCUUGUUGAACAAAAGAGAAUUUAUCAGCAAGAAGCUGAAUCACUUUUUAAAAUGACUUCUAAAAUUAGAGAGUACUCAGAUUUAAAGAAAGGGGACAGGUUAAAGGAACUGCAGGAAAAGAAAUCUCUAUCAGAGUCUGAACUUAAAAGUUGUGAUGCUAGGAAGCAAGCAAUUUUAGCUGAUAUUAACAAAAGCAAAGAUUUGUUGCGAGAUCAAGAUAAUAUAAAAAGAAAUAUCGAGGACCACUUAAAUUACCGGAAAACAAAGGCUGAAGUAGAUGAGCUAGGACGUGAAAUUGAAACACUCGAAGAAAGUAUAUUGAAGGUUGGUGGUGUGUCCGCAAUUGAAAGUGAACUACAGAAAUUAUCAAAGGAGAGAGAGACGCUUCUUUCAGAGUUAAACAGGUACCAUGGAACAAUGUCUGUUUACCAAAGCAAUAUUUCCAAAAAUAAGAUUGAUCUUAAGCAGUCUCAAUACAAGGACAUAGAUAAGCGAUACUUUGAUCAACUUAUACAGCUUAAGACAACUGAAAUGGCGAACAAGGACCUGGACAGAUACUACAAUGCACUUGAUAAAGCAUUGAUGCGCUUCCACUCAAUGAAAAUGGAAGAAAUCAACAAAAUUAUAAGGGAAUUGUGGCAACAAACCUAUAGAGGACAGGAUAUAGACUACAUUAGUAUUCAUUCAGAUUCUGAAGGUGCUGGGACCCGUUCCUACAGUUACAAGGUUCUCAUGCAGACUGGUGAUGCCGAGCUAGAAAUGAGAGGAAGAUGUAGUGCGGGCCAGAAGGUCCUUGCAUCUCUUAUCAUUCGCUUGGCGUUAGCUGAAACUUUUUGCCUCAAUUGUGGAAUAUUGGCACUGGACGAGCCAACCACAAAUUUGGAUGGCCCCAAUGCUGAAAGUCUGGCUGCUGCUCUCCUAAGGAUCAUGGAAGACAGGAAAGGCCAGGAAAAUUUUCAGCUAAUCGUAAUUACUCAUGAUGAGCGUUUUGCUCAACUGAUUGGUCAGCGCCAGCAUGCAGAGAAAUAUUAUCGAGUCUCAAAAGAUGAUCUGUAAGGAUAGCCGUACCAGCAUUUAUUUCAAAUUCAUUUGAUUAUAUGUGGAUCCUUCGGGUGAAAUUUUUAUGACCUUGUCACUACUAAUUCAGCACAGUAUAAUUGAAUGCCAGGAGAUAUUUGACUGAAGAGAAGACUAUAUUUAGUUAGUUACUCCUUCGAGAAUUCUUGUCUGACCACAUCGGAGAAAAUGAGGAUCUGAAGAACCGGAGCCCCAAGACUUCAUACAUUUAUGCUGUAACUUGAUCAAGUUAUAAGAUGCUCUAGAUGGGUGGUAAUUUAAGCACGCUUCGUUGGUUAAAAUUUGUAUACUAAUUUUGUUAAUCUUUGACUACUUUCUAUAACAUUUGAAUUUUGUUCAUAAGCUUUUCAUUAUUGCUGGAAUUUUGAAAUCAGGCCUGUAUAUAAGAAAAUGAUUGAUCAU